UUAAUGCCCAGGAGAGUGGCAGUCCACAUGGACUGUUGACUAGAGAUUUAUCGGUGUGGGAUGAGCUUGCGUCCGAUUAGCUGGUUGGCGGGGUAACGGCCCACCAAGGCGACGAUCGGUAGCCGGCCUGAGAGGGUGAUCGGCCACAUUGGGACUGAGAUACGGCCCAGACUCCUACGGGAGGCAGCAGUAGGGAAUAUUGCACAAUGGGGGAAACCCUGAUGCAGCAACGCCACGUGUGGGAAGAAGCAUUUCGGUGUGUAAACCACUGUCGUGAGGGAAUAAUGCUUGGUCUCGGCCAAGUUGAAUGUACCUCGAAAGGAAGCACCGGCAAACUUCGUGCCAGCAGCCGCGGUAAUACGAGGGGUGCAAGCGUUGUUCGGAAUCACUGGGCGUAAGGGGAGCGCAGGCGGAGAUGCAAGCAGUCUGUACAAUACCGGGGCCCAACCCCGGACCUGCAGACUGGACUGUUUCUCUUGGAUAGUUCAGGGGCAAGCGGAAUUCCUGGUGUAGCGGUGGAAUGCGUAGAGAUCAGGAAGAACACCGAUGGCGAAGGCAGCUUGCUGGGGACUUAUCGACGCUCAUGCUCGAAAGUGCGGGUAGCAAAUAGGAUUAGAUACCCUGGUAGUCCGCACCGUAAACAAUGCAUACUGGGUGUCCGGGGCUCGCCCCGGGUACCGAAGCCNACGCGUUAAGUAUGCCGCCUGGGGAGUACGUACGCAAGUAUGAAACUCAAAGGAAUUGACGGGGGCCCGCACAAGCGGUGGAGCAUGU
rnacentral:rRNA from 1 species